GAUGAAGAACGUAGUGAAAUGCGAUAAGUAAUGUGAAUUGCAGAAUUCAGUGAAUCAUCGAAUCUUUGAACGCACAUUGCGCCCGCCAGUAUUCUGGCGGGCAUGCCUGUUCGAGCGUCAUUUCAACCAUCAAGCCCCCGGGCUUGUGUUGGGGACCUGCGGCUGCCGCAGGCCCUGAAAAGCAGUGGCGGGCUCGCUGUCACACCGAGCGUAGUAGCAUACAUCUCGCUCUGGGCGUGCUGCGGGUUCCGGCCGUUAAACUACCCUUUUAACCCAAGGUUGACCUCGGAUCAGGUAGGAAGACCCGCUGAACUUAAGCAUAUCAAUAAGCGGAGGA
rnacentral:misc_RNA from 1 species